ACGAACGCUGGCGGCGUGCUUAACACCUGCAAGUCGAACGGAAAGGCCCUGCUUGCAGGGUGCUCGAGUGGCGAACGGGUGAGUAACACGUGGGUGAUCUGCCCCUUACUUUGGGAUAAGCCUGGGAAACUGGGUCUAGUACUGGAUAGGACCAUGCUGUAGGUGGUGUGGUGGAAAGAUUAGUUUCGGUAAGGGAUGAGCUCGCGGCCUAUCAGCUUGUUGGUGGGGUAAUGGCCUACCAAGGCGUCGACGGGUAGCCGGCCUGAGAGGGUGGACGGCCACAUUGGGACUGAGAUACGGCCCAGACUCCUACGGGAGGCAGCAGUGGGGAAUAUUGCACAAUGGGCGCAAGCCUGAUGCAGCGACGCCGCGUGGGGGAUGACGGCCUUCGGGUUGUAAACUCCUUUCAGCCAUGACGAAGCCCUUGUGGUGACGGUAGUGGUAGAAGAAGCACCGGCUAACUACGUG
rnacentral:rRNA from 1 species